AGCGAACGCUGGCGGCAGGCCUAACACAUGCAAGUCGAACGGAUCCUUCGGGAUUAGUGGCGGACGGGUGAGUAACACGUGGGAACGUGCCCUUUGGUUCGGGACAACUCAGGGAAACUUGAGCUAAUACCGGAUGUGCCCUUCGGGGGAAAGAUUCAUCGCCAUUGGAGCGGCCCGCGUCUGAUUAGCUAGUUGGUGGGGUAAAGGCCCACCAAGGCGACGAUCAGUAGCUGGUCUGAGAGGAUGAUCAGCCACAUUGGGACUGAGACACGGCCCAAACUCCUACGGGAGGCAGCAGUGGGGAAUCUUGCGCAAUGGGCGAAAGCCUGACGCAGCCAUGCCGCGUGAAUGAUGAAGGUCUUAGGAUUGUAAAAUUCUUUCACCGGGGACGAUAAUGACGGUACCCGGAGAAGAAGCCCCGGCUAACUUCGUGCCAGCCGCCGCCGUAAUAC
rnacentral:rRNA from 1 species